GAACGCACAUUGCGCCCUUGGGUAUUCCGAAGAGCAUGCUUGUUUGAGUAUCAGUAAACACCUCAAAGCUUUUGAUCUUUUUCAAAAGUUUUGGACUUGAGCAAUCCCAACACCAGUCUUUUUCGGACCGGUGGCGGGUUGCUUGAAAUGCAGGUGCAGCUGGACAUUCUCCUGAGCUAAAAGCAUAUUUAUUUAGUCCCGUCAAACGGAUUAUUACUUUUGCUGCAGCUAACAUAAAGGGAGUUUGACCGUAUUGGCUGACUGAUGCAGGAUUUCACAAGGGUCGGCAACGAUUCUUGUAAAACUCGAUCUCAAAUCAAGUAAGACUACCCGCUGAACUU
rnacentral:misc_RNA from 1 species